AACUUCAAGACCUCAGCAAAGAGGACAGGUUGGUCUCCAGGCACCCCCUGCUGGCUUGUGAGGAGCAAAAGCAGCUCUGAAUGUGCAGGAACAGCCUCCUCUUUCCUCCUCCGAUAAAAGGUAACAGAUUGAGAUAUGACACAGUUGGACUUCUGGAGUAUUUCUUGUCUAAAACAGAACCAUCACAAAAGGAGAUCUAGAAAACCCUGGGCAACUAUGCACUUCAAUUACUUCAAAGUCUAGGAGGUUUCAUUAGGACCUGAUCCUACAGAUUCAUCAAACCAUCACUGACUUCAGCAGAAAGUUUGAGUUAACAAGGAGCUAAAUCCUUAUCCCACGUAAGUCCAUGGCAAAACAUCUGUUGACUUCACAAUUUAGCUCAAGAACUGCAGCACCAGUAAUUAAGAUUUUAUUCAUAAAACUUACCUUUG
rnacentral:lncRNA from 1 species